CAGGUUCACAGUGAUAAAAGGGCUGUCAGCUCCUUAAACUGGGUGGCUGUGGCCGCAACUGCUCUUUGUCCCAUUGUUGUAAGGCAGAGGUGGCAGUCCGGGAAUGAGGAGUGGCUCUACUUGGUAGCAACCUAUUCGUGAUACGUUCCUAUCUGCUCUUGAGAAGAAAUACUAUGAAUAGGGGGAGUUCGGAGGUGUUUCCUGCAGGCCAGCUGCAGCAUCACUACUGGAAAGUCUCAGCCACAAGUGAAGAACGCAGGCCAGAUUGAAAGUGAUGACUUGCUGGUGACUGAUCUCAGCUGAUGGAGGAAAAAAUGACUCCUCGGUGAACUGGGCUAGCUCCCAGAAAAAGAAUCCAUUGCUUUGGAAAAGAGAUUAAUGAAGUACAUUCAGCGGAUCUGCUGGCCAGUGGACAGCAGUUUGUACUGCAGCCACCGGAUGAGGCGUUCUGUUGUGUCACCAGAUUAUUUAUAUCUUCCGUUGACUAGCACAUUGGUUUCCCUAAAGCAGAGGGAGUGUAUGAUUUGCUAUUUUUUAUUCUUUAUUAACUUCUAAAUAUAAAUUCAGCCACGAAGGGCACAUUGAGCUGACUGAUUUGUGAGGGAUGGGAGGAGGUUGGGGGAACUCCCCAGCAGAGAUCUCCUCUACAUCCCAACUUUCACAGACUUCUGAGACAAGCAAUGGAUUUUUCUUUCUGCCUGGUUAAUGUUUAUUCAAGGAAUAGUUUUCCUUAGUUUGCAGAAUUAAGACCAUCUGAUAUCUCUUCUUUCAAGCACCACAAAAAUUUUACCCAUAAAAGCAUUUCAGUGCUGUGUGUGUUCCAGAUUUUUGCUUGAGUAAGCAUAUAUUCUGAUAUUUAUAAGCCUCCUUGGCAGUAAGUGAGUGAGAGGGGAGACCUAAGAUUAUGGGAUAUUUUAGAAGUGUUGAACUGCAAACUGAAAACUUCUUGAAAAAAAUGUAUUGAGAGUUAAGUAAAACUUACUAGGAGAGAGAAGAUAUCAUAGUUCUUUUCUUUCUCUUGACAAUUCUCUUUCAGUCAUGUAUUAAGUUACAUCUUGUUCUUAUUCAGUUUUCUUUGUUUGAUUGAAUUUUCAUGGAUAUAAACCUAGUGUUUAUAACAAAAAGAACUAAAAAAAAAAAGAAGAGGAAUGGAUGGAACAGUUGUGCUGCUUCUGUAGAGGUUGAUUAAUGUCAAAAAAAAAAAAAAAAAAAGGAAUAUUAAGUUUUCAUUGCGAUUGUAUAUACCCAUUUAAAUUGUGCUAAGUGUGUGGCUGGAGAGCACCCUUAAUUUUAAUCCAGGAUCUGUGAAAAACUAUCUUCUGGGUUCUUCUUCUGCUGCUGUCAAAGAUGUUUUCCAACCAAGGAAUUCUCUAAUUUUUACCUGGAUAAGGAGGAGAUACUGGUUUCUAUCUCGUAUCCCACUGAUCUUCAUCAGACCACUGGAAUCAGUGUCCUCUGCUAAAGACAGUAAAAGAGAAUGUUUUAAAAUCAUAAAUAGGAAUUUAAUAUAGUUACCGAAAGCUCACAAAUUUCUUGAACCAUAUUCUAGUAUCCAAAAAAUUUUUUUCUUAGAUUUUUAUCAUGUUAUUACUAUAUCCUUUAAUUAGCCUCUGCAAAUUUGAAAUAGAAGCACUGAAACUCUAGCAGGAAAGUUGCUUCCAUGGGGGACUCAUGUCCCUGAAGUUUUAGUUUUGUUUUAGAACAGAUCAAGAUAUGAUAUAAUUUGAAACACCAUAAUUUUGGUAAUUUGCCUGUAAAUGAUGUGAACCUGCGUUUGUUUAAAUGUUCAGGCAUCUCUGAGUGACAAAUUAUAAUCUUAUUAUUUUUUUACCCUAGCAUCCCUUGGAUAGGAUGAGACUUAAAGUAGUGCCAUUUAAUGGAAGAUAUGUGAUAUUCACAGUCAUAUAAGACUUGACUAGCAUAGAAUUGGACUCUGGACUAUCAGGUUUACAGAUUGGCCAGAGAAAGACAAACUUAAAUACUGUAAGUAAAGGAAGCACAGCAGUAUGAAAGAAGAAUGUAGAGAAAAGCGGUAAAACAUUUUAUCUGCUGAAAACAGAGGAAGACUAUAAGUUACAAUUGAUUUAACAGAAAAUGUUUCGUUAGCAGAGCCAAAAGAGUUUUCCACUCAUGUGUGCCCAUUUGAAAGCUUUCAAAGAUAGCUUAGUUCAGCAGAAUUAAAGUGGUAUUUUGUAACCACUGUGAAGUAGCAGUUAUUCAAAUGGUUUCGUCUUUUUACUUAUUUAUUUUAUAUUAUUAAAAAGGAUAUUUUCUUUUACAUGGAAAUUACCUAAGUAAAUGACUCUAUGAUCCAUCUAGGAAAAUACUAUAGACAGUGCAUACUAUUUUUUCUAGCUAUACUCUUGGAGACUUAGAGUGUACUUCUUGCUGUUGGGUGUCAAGGAAAGACCUCUGACACUGUUUGACCUGGCAUGUUCAUGGCAGGGAAAUGGCUGGGAUAGUUUGAAGGUUCAAAAGCCCAAACACACUUCAGCUCAGUCAAGGGGACAUUUUACUGGGGAAGAGUUUUCCUUUCAAAUUCCAAAAAUGUAGUCCAGGAGCAGCCUUCAGAGCAUUUCUAAAGCAUGUGAUUUAGAAAGGCUGUGAUCUCUGAAUACAGUGAAAGAAUCUUUGUAUGAUAUAAACUUGCCCGCCACAUUCAAGCCAGACAAUAAUUUCUCCUCCCCUAUUCUGUCUUCAUUAGUAUUUUUUAUUUAUUCUGUCCCACAUACAUAUUUUUUUUCUUCUGGCUAGAUGAAGUUAUUUCCCUGCUUUCAUUGGACAAGUUGAUGCCAUAUUUGUUCUUUGCUCUGCAGGGCUCUGAUAAAAACUGAAUUCAUAUGGUGCACACUCAGUAUGCUAUAGGCUCAGCAGGAUGAAUUAAAUAACCUGAUUAUCAUUAACAUUUGCACAAUGCAGUAUAUUAGGUGUUAAGUUUUGAAGGGGAUGAGAUUUCCUCACCAAGGUAAAAAUGGUUUAAUUGUAGAUUGAGUAUCUGCUCCAUAGUGUCAUCUUUGGGCUAGUGUACAGGAAGGCAAUCUCUUAUUUAUUCUGCAAUGCUAAGCUGUUUGUUAGAGCAUGCUGUAGACUCAUUGCCUUUGUGCUGCUUAUCAGAGCAAAUAAAGACUUGUUGCGGUCUGCUGAGCAAACAGAAGGAACAUUAGCUCUUAAUAAAACAAUUUAAUUCUGGAGCUUUGAAUCUUCAUUUAGCAAUCAAAGCACGCUGCCUUUCACCAGAAGCACUGUGCAACUGAUUGUUGCCAUAGCAGCUAUAUUAUAUUAGAAAAAUAAGUUUGUAUACAGAGCUAACUACAAAUUUAUUUUUAAACAAUAUUCUGACUGAACUCAGAGGACAACUUGAAUGCUUAAAUUCAAGUAUAUGCUUAAAUAUCCCAUUGGUGUCAAACAAUGAAUUUUCAGAGAUACUAUUACCUUAAGACAAAAUCUUUAAUUUUGCUGAGUUGAGGUGCCUCUUCAAUAGUGGCAAUGAAGAAUGGGAAUCUUAAUCUGGCAUACAAAGAUAAUAUCCUGAAGUUAUUAUACUGUAUAGAGAAACAGUAGAAAAUCAGGAGAUGUGCUAGGAUACAAAUAUAAAAUCACAGUUGCCAUAUAUUAUAUGAAAAAUAGCAAAACAUUGCAUAAUUCAAGAAAGAGCAUGACAGUUGUUUUCAUAGAAAGGUCUUCUUUGUCCUUACCAACUUUGGGCAUAUGAAUAUCUUCACCAUGGUAAUUUCUGCUGUCCUGGGUUUAAGCCCUUGGCAACUUGCAGAUGGCCCUGAUGAAUUAGUGGUCAUUGCCUCACACUUUCAAAUACCUUUUUCCUAGUACACAGGCUACUCAUAUACAAAGCAAAUAUUACCAGGUAAUUUGUUCAUGAUUUGAGCCUAGGCUUUGGUUGUCUACUACGUCAGAAGUAUCAGUUCAGCUUGGCUUUGUCUUCAUGCUGAGCUGGAUAAGCAUUUCUUUAUUAGCUCCUGGCUUAUCUUCUUCCUGCUCUGUUCACCUGGAUCCAACAUUUAUCUUCAAAUGUGGAUUAAACAGGAAAAUACCACUGUUACUCCUAGGGUAAAAGUGUUAAAUUUAGGCACUACGAAGUGUAGUACUCUGUAGCACUUACGCAAAUUGGCAGCCUGUGCAUUCUCAUUUUCCCUCAGGUAGAGCUGACAUAUACUGGGCAAUAGAUGAUCCUUCUCAAUAUGUAAACUGACUUAAAGCUGGUGUUGUACAACCUGCCUUGCCCUUCACUUAAAAUAGGAGAAAUGUCUAAAUGUUCCUAUAUGCAAGAAAGCUAUUGCAAGAUGUACAAAGGGGCAGCCUGGCUUUUUGGAAUGUGUUGGGUAAGCAAUUUCCCUCAAGAAAGGAUGUAAAUGCAGAAAUACUGGUACCAAUUGGAAGGUGUCAGUUUUGUUGGUCUGAGUCAGGGAACCCAGGAGAUGGAGAGAAAGUAGGAGCUGAUCCUGUUCCUGCUGAGACUUGCUGGAUUUCAGCAAGGACGGUCAUGCUGGAUGAAUGUGCUUAUCUAGAAAUAAAACCCAGUUUUCCAAGUAAUUUAUUUUUUUCUUUCAGAAGUCCAAUAUGUGGGAAUUAAUUUCUAAAACAAGGACUGGAAUAUCAGCAAUAAUCUAAUUUAAUAACUUGAGGAUAUGCAAAGCACCCUAAAAUGUUAAUGAACUAAUACCCAGCAGACUUCUGGGGUGAGAAAAAUGUGAUCUCUGUGUUACAAAUGGGAAACUGGGGCACAGAGAAGAUCAAAGAUUUAGAUAAGCCCUUUGGUUCUGUUCAUAAUUAAUACACCCAUCAGGUACAAAAUUAUCCAGUUAAAAAAAGAAAGUGAUGUAGAACUGUUAGCUACAGAAAUCAGAGAAACUGUUUUAUUAAGCAAUUAUAUAAAAAAAAAUAAACAGAUCUCCAAACCUUUCACUUCUGAGUAUAAAUCAUGAUUCAGGGGCAUCAAAUCAGCUUCUUUUUCUCUUGGCUAAUAUUAUUUUCCAUCCUCUUACACUUCUGAUGUGCCAAAAUAAUGAAGUGAUGAUACUGCUUUUGUUACAAAAUCCUGAAGAGAACAGAACAAAGAAACAAAUGUGCUCAAAAGAAAUCUUGACAUUACUAUGUGUUACACCAAAACUGAUUAGAUUAAGGAUCUGGCACAUCAUUUUUAUGGGCUUUACAGCAGCAUAAUUCCACUGCCUUUAGCCUACUCACUCCUGAUUUAUACUCGUGUGUGUGAAGUUGGGCUGUACUUGUAAUUUGAUUCCAUGUAUGCCUCUUUCAGAUGGAAUUUUUCACACCCUUCAUGAAGGUUACUCCUAAUCCUGGCUGUCACCAUCAAAGUGGGAGCUUGCCAGAAUGGAAUAGGGCAAAGGAUGACUUUGCGUACCUCAUGUAAUCCAGUCUGUAGUUACUUAGUAUGAUAUUUUUCUUCAUGAUGAUUACAUGACAAUGUUGAACAAAGAUUGGAUCUGAAACUUUUCAGCCUUCAAGGUCCAUUUCUUUGUUGUUUGGGAAGCCUUUUCCCCCUUGUUCUCAAAAGACCUUUCAGACUGUGUGUGAUCAUGCAGUUAUCAAGGCUCUGUAUACAAACCAUAGUUUUCCAGAAAGCAUUUUCAGUUGAAUGGAAAAAUGUUUAGUAAUGGGAUAAAAUUACUGUUGCAUCAGUGAGGAAAAGUGACAUCAAACACAAAUGUGUGCUAGUUCUUACCUGGUAACGCAUUAGCAGUUUUAUUUGUUCUGUGUUUUCAUUUCUCACUGAAAGAAUAUGGUAGAACAGUUACUGCUAAUUCUUUAAAAAUAUAUAUACCUUCAUCACCAGCAUUCUCUUUGCAACAAGAGAGAGAAUUUCCCUGUUGGAGAUCCUCCUUUCAUCCAUGCUAUGUGGUUAAUCCUGCUGUCCUCAUUCAGACCAAAAAUGAAGGCAUUAACCUUCUUGGAAUAUUUCCCCAGGCUUUGAGAAAAUCCUGAGGAUCUAGCUUUUAAAUUUACGGGGAGCCUUUCCUUUUUCAUUUGCAAUGGUGUUGUAUUAGUAAUGCUUAACUUCAGUACUUGGACUUUUGAUUUGAAACAAGGCUAUUAAGGUGAUGAAGAAAGGUACUGCUAGUGUUCUGGAAUGCCCUCUGUAGUUUUGAGAGAUAUUACAUUUCUCCAGUGUUCAGUAUUUUAGUGCUCUCUCAUUAAUUUUUAUGUCAAAACAUAAAAAUUUACUCUUUCUGAUGUGAAUCGUGAAAUCUUUAACAUGGAUAUUACAUGCUCUUUAUACAUCAACUUUCAGUUUCUGUUCAGUUAUCAGGAUAUUUCUGUUACCCAUUUUGGUUUUAUGGUGCUAUUAUUGAAACUAUGAUAAAUACAUUGCAAUUUCAAAUGGUACAUCCAGCACAACUGAGCAAAAAUAAACAAUCCUGUGCUGAUUCCAAUUGCA